rnacentral:rRNA from 1 species
UACGGGGGGAGCAAGCGUUGUUCGGAUUUACUGGGCGUAAAGGGCGCGUAGGCGGUCGUGACAAGUCACUUGUGAAAUCUCCGGGCUUAACUCGGAACGGUCAAGUGAUACUGUCGUGCUAGAGUGCGGAAGGGGCUACUGGAAUUCUCGGUGUAGCGGUGAAAUGCGUAGAUAUCGAGAGGAACACCUGCGGCGAAGGCGGGUAGCUGGGCCGACACUGACGCUGAUGCGCGAAAGCGUGGGGAGCAAACAGG